AUGGCGGCGGAAGACAUUGGAAAUCAACUGAAGAAACGUCACCUGUCUGAGGCAGAGAAGAAGACAGUCAAGCUGAAAUCUGGCUCUAUAGGUAAAGAUGGUGCAGGUAAUCUCCGGACAGUAGCGAAAAUUUUAUCAGAGAAACAAGCCAGGCCGGAGGUUCUAGAACAAACAUUGGGGGAAAUUUGGAGUCCGGUUCAUGGUGUAGAUUGCAAAGAUAUGGGGCAGAAUAGAUUUAUUUUCACCUUUAUGAACAAGAAGGGGAAACCGAGAGCAAUAGAUGAAGGACCAUGGUUGUUUAAUAACAGAGAUCUCAUUGUGAUGGAGGAUUUUGCUGCUCGGAAGGCCAUAGAUGAGUAUGAAUUCAAAUAUAUCCCAAUCUGGGUGAGGGUAUAUGGAGUUCCACUGGGUGCGCUAAAUAAAGAAGCGGGGGAGAUGGUUGGAAGGAUGAUAGGAAAGGUGUUAGACAUGGAUGUGGACGAAGAGGGAUCUGCCUUGACUGAAUAUUUACGAAUUAAGGUGAGAAUAGAUAUCACAAAACCUUUGAUGAGAUAUGUAACCAUCGACGAUGAGUCAGAUUCAGAUGAGGAAACAAUGAAUGCGACAGAUGGGGAGGAGAAUGAAACAGAAGUGGGUAGAAUCUGUGAUCUUAAGUAUGAGUUCCUUCCUGUGUUUUGCUUUAAUUGUGGUAUCAUAGGCCACAACGAGAGGAACUGA
rnacentral:rRNA from 1 species